rnacentral:rRNA from 1 species
UAAACGACUCUCGGCAACGGAUAUCUCGGCUCACGCAUCGAUGAAGAACGUAGCAAAAUGCGAUACUUGGUGUGAAUUGCAGAAUCCCGUGAACCAUCGAGUUUUUGAACGCAAGUUGCGCCCGAAGCCAUUUGGUCGAGGGCACGUCUGCCUGGGCGUCACGC